rnacentral:rRNA from 1 species
AACGAACGCUGGCGGCAGGCUUAACACAUGCAAGUCGAACGCCCCGCAAGGGGAGUGGCAGACGGGUGAGUAACGCGUGGGAAUCUACCCAGAUCUACGGAACAACAGUUGGAAACGACUGCUAAUACCGUAUACGCCCUACGGGGGAAAGAUUUAUCGGAUUUGGAUGAGCCCGCGUUGGAUUAGCUAGUUGGUGGGGUAAUGGCCUACCAAGGCGACGAUCCAUAGCUGGUCUGAGAGGAUGAUCAGCCACACUGGUACUGAGACACGGCCCAGACUCCUACGGGAGGCAGCAGUGGGGAAUAUUGGACAAUGGGCGCAAGCCUGAUCCAGCCAUGCCGCGUGAGUGAUGAAGGCCUUAGGGUUGUAAAGCUCUUUCACCGAUGAAGAUAAUGACGGUAGUCGGAGAAGAAGCCCCGGCUAACUUCGUGCCAGCAGCCGCGGUAAGAC